UCGCCUACAUGAAGCUGGAGUUACUAGUAAUCGCAGAUCAGAAUGCUGCGGUGAAUGCGUUCCCGGGUCUUGUACACACCGCCCGUCACACCACGGAAGUUGGGGGCGCCCGAAGCCACUUAGCUAACCCUUUUGGGAAGCGAGUGUCGAAGGUGGAGCCGGUAACUGGGGUGAAGUCGUAACAAGGUAGC
rnacentral:rRNA from 1 species